rnacentral:rRNA from 1 species
CGGUUGAUCCUGCCGGACCCCACUGCUAUCGGGAUGGGACUAAGACAUGCUAGCCGAGCGUCUCCCAAUUGAAGAGACGCGGCACACAGCUCAGUAACCCGUGGCUAACCUGCCCUUGGGACAGGGAUAACCCCGGGAAACUGGGGCUAAUCCCUGAUAAGUGAAAAUGCCUGGAAUGGAUUUUCGCUCAAAAGGCGUCUUAGACCAUGCUUCUAAACGCCGCCCAAGGAUGGGGCCGCGGCCGAUCAGGUUGUUGGUGAGGUAACGGCUCACCAAGCCUUUAACCGGUACGGGCCGUGAGGGCGGCAGCCCGGAGAUGUGCACUUGGCAAGGGCACACGCCCACGGGGCGCGGCAGUCGCGGAAACUCUGCAAUACUUGAGAGAGUGACAGGGCCAUCCCGAGUGCCGUCCGCUGAGGAUGGCUUUUCCCCAGUGUAUAAAGCUGGGGGAAUAAGGAGAGGGCAAGCCUGGUGUCAGCCGCCGCGGUAAUACCAGCUCUCCGAGUGGUGGGGAUGCUUAUUGGGCCUAAAGCAUUCGUAGCCUGCUUGGCAAGUCCUCCGUUAAAUCCAACGAUUCAAUCGUUGGGCUGCGGGGGAUACUGCCCGGCUAGGGGGCGGGAGAGGCCGACGGUAUUCUCGGGGUAGGGGUGAAAUCCUAUAAUCCCGGGAGGACCACCAGUGGCGAAGGCUGUCGGCUAGAACGCGCUCGACGGUGAGGGAUGAAAGCUGGGGGAGCGAACCGGAUUAGAUACCCGGGUAGUCCCAGCUGUAAACGAUGCAGGCUAGGUGUUGGGGCGGCUACGUGCCGCCCCAGUGCCGCAGGGAAGCCGUUAAGCCUGCCGCCUGGGAAGUACGGCCGCAAGGCUGAAACUUAAAGGAAUUGGCGGGGGAGCAC